rnacentral:rRNA from 1 species
GACGAACGCUGGCGGCGUGCCUAAUACAUGCAAGUCGAGCGCAGGAAGCCGUCUGAGCCCUUCGGGGGGCCGACGGUGGAAUGAGCGGCGGACGGGUGAGGAACACGUAAAGAACCUGCCCAUAGGUAUGGGAUAACCACGAGAAAUCGGGGCUAAUACCGGAUGUGUCAUCGGACCGCAUGGUCCGCUGCUGACAGACGCUCCGGCGUCGCCCAUGGAUGGCUUUGCGGUGCAUUGGCUAGUUGGUGGGGUAACGGCCCACCAAGGCGACGAUGCAUAGCCGGCCUGGGGGGGUGAUCGGCCACACUGGGACUGAGAAACGGCCCAGACUCCUACGGGAGGCAGCAGUAGGGAAUCUUCCACAAUGGACGAAAGUCUGAUGGAGCAACGCCGCGUGAACGAUGAAGGCUUUCGGGUCGUAAAGUUCUGUUGUAAGGGAAGAACAAGUGCCGCAGGCAAUGGCGGCACCUUGACGGUACCUUGCGAGAAAGCCACGGCUAACUACGUGCCAGCAGCCGCCGUAA